CCUAGAACAUCCUUAGCUCCACCUGCCAGGUUGGCGCCUUCCACCCGUGGGUCUCAGGACUGGCCCCCAGACUUUCCCCAGACUUUCUAGAAAGCACUGCUCAUUCUGUGCCCAUUCCAUCAGGGGGAACAGGCGUAAGAGGAGCACAGGCCUCUUGGAGAAUGGCCCUGGGUGAGGAGACCCCAGGGCCACAUGUGAGGCUGGCACAGGACCCCAGCUGCCUUCCCUCCCUGGCUGAGGGUCAGGGCUGUUGCUGUUUUCUCCCUUUGGUCUCCUUGGCAUCCUCAUGGUGCUUAGCCUUAACCCGUGAGGGAGUGCCAGGCAGGGCCAGGGCUGGCCCCGGAGAGGAGAAACAGUCCCAGCCACAGGGUGGGCUGGCCUUCAGCUUCAUGUCCCCAUCUUCCAGGAAGAUCAAAGAGAGGUGCUGAGCUCAGAGAGAUGUGGUCCCUGGUGCCUCUGUGACCGGCUCUGGAUCCACUUCUGGGAAGCCCACUCCCAGAGACCAGAGAAGUCUUGCUUCUCCAGCAUGUUCAUGACGUCACUGCAGGAUGUCCUGUUGUAAAGGAGCUUCUGCUGGCCCUCUGUCCCCCUCUUUCCGCCUGGACUUUUGCCGGCUCCGGUCUUUUUCUUCUGCGAUCCAUGUGACCUGGAUGAUCUUUCUAACCAACUUCCGUCCAAGCCAGCAAGGACCUGCCUGUGGAUGAGGCAGGAUCCCUGACCUGCAUGUGAGAAGCCUGCCCAGGUGGAGAGGACCCUUCCCCUGCCUGACUCCCCUUCCAGCCUCUGCCUACACCUUUCCCUCAGAUAAGGAUGACCUGCGGCUGCUUCCGGCUCCGCAAGUUUGGAGUCCUAGGGUUUGUGCAGACAGGGCUCCUGACCUUGAGGGGCCUGAAGGUCUUCCUGGGCCCUUGGUGGGAUGGGCAAGCCUGUCAGCAGGCCUGGCCUCAGGGUUUACUCUGUCCCCCAAACAGGGAGCAAUUUCCAGAACAAGACCAAUUGAAAAUGU